CCGAGUACCGGGUCCUUUUGGGCCCUUACUCCCACCCUUUGUGUAUCUUACCUUUAUUUCUUGUUGCCUUGGCGGGUCUCUGGGGGGAGACCUCUGGGGGGCCUUCACGGCCCCGCCCGCCAGGGGGACAGCCCUUAAACUCUUGUUAACUGGGUCGUCUGAGAAAACAAAACAAAUGAAUUA
rnacentral:misc_RNA from 1 species